UUUUUAUUGUUACAGCUGGGGAGAUGGUGCUAUUGGAGUCCAGUGGUGUAGAGAUCAGGGAUGCUACUAAACAUCGUAUGGAAGGCAGUGUGUGGAUCUUACACAUUGUCACAUCUCCUGUCACAGUGACUUGUCAUGUUAUAAGAAGACACAGAGCAGUUGCUUGGACCUUCUUCUUGCUGGAUCAGAGAUGCUUGGGCCACAACUUUA